AUUAAUAGAUAUGAAUUUGAAAUGUGCCUUGUGCCCAGGGCCCAAGUAGAUUCCUGCUUUUUCUCCCAGGGAAUCAGACUGAUUUAGCCUGUGAUAGGCAGAGCAGCUGGGCAUCUCCAGGGCAACCCGCGCACUUCAUGGAGGGGAGAAGGCCUGCAGAUGAGAGAACAAAAGCCACAGAGGAUAGGCUGCCUGCUUCGAACAGCUCUUCUCCGAGGCUGGGCCAUGAAUGAUGCCACUUCUCUUCCUAUGUGGAGAGCCCAGUGAGAAGUAUAGAGAAGGGAAGAUGUUUCUCCUUAAAAUUCAGCCAAUGUCGCAACUUCUAGUUUCAAGCCUGGGAAAAAUUCAGGGCUAGGGAGAGAAGUCCCCUGCCCUCUCCUCCCAACCUAGUGAGAACGAACUUGAAGGUUUGAGGAAGAAGGCUGAAUGUAAAACUGGCAAACAGUCUGGACAAAUGCCAGAGAGAAGUGCUUGGCUGAAGCCAGCACUUAAGGGCUUCCUGAGGAAUGAGUGUGGACUGGCUGGCCUCAGAAUAAAGGACUGAGACAAAGCAGAUGCCAGAAGUCUAUUGAAUUUUCACUUUGUUGUUUCAGUAUCCUCUUAUGCUUAAUGUCUUCAGUCUUUUGCUUCUGGCUAUGAUGAAGUUACUGAUACAAGGCUAGCCUCAUGCCGUCAACAACCAUGAAACUGAACAAAAUACAUGUGGCAACGCUUUCCAGACUGUGGAAAACAGGCAAUGCAAGAUUGAUCCCUGAAAGAAAGAAAAAUCACAAGGCACAAGAGCAAACCAGAUGAAUACAGCCUGAAGUGAACACCCAGCAAGCUGCAGCAGCCCUGUGGAAGAG
rnacentral:lncRNA from 10 species